ACACACCGAGAGUGUAGAGCCGUCAGAAACGUUGGUGUAGCCCGUGUGUUUGGUAACUCGCGUCAAUAUACCGUCUCGUAUACGAUCUCUUGUGUGACACAUGUGACUUGGACCAUUUUUCUGGACGAUUUUCCACAAAAACCCCGGCUUAAGACUACGACCAUAGACGGUCCAGUGACUCUGUGUUCCGAAUCUUCUGUGACUGAACAUGUGGAUGGUUAGAGUAUUGGGUGCUAAGACCAGUGGAAUGGGAAACCUGUGAAUCGAGCAUGAGGAAAAAGUCUUCCCAGGUUUCUUUUUGGCUAUUUUUCGUUUUUAUCGGUUCAGCACAAUGCGUCAGCGUACACUUCGAGAACAAGGACGGAGGCUUCUUCCUCCGUCAAAUUGCCCGUCAGCACAUGGCCACCGAGGCGCCGUUCCUGAGCACCAACUCUGCGGCGCCGCUGUCCAUCGACAGGUUCACGGUGUUCCAGAGCUCGCAGCCCAUAUCCAUAAGGGCAACCUACGGGCCCUUCAGCACCAAGCAGACCGUACCUGCAAGGUACGUGGUGCCGGAUCCACUUCCUGUGAACACAGUGGGUCCAACGAUAGACCUCCAAGACCUCACUACACACCAUCUAGACGUCUCAGCACACAUAGUACGAACAGAGAUACCACGUGACUCUCCAGUCCUCAGGGUCUUGUUCCACACAGGGACAGAUCCGGGCAGUAGACGCCAAGUGCUGGUGGACAGGCAUCAUCAGAAGGUCUGCAUCGUGCUCCACGCUACCAUGAACCAGAAACCUUCGUUGCACGCUGCCUGUAGUCCAGACGGUGAAGACGGAGUUUGUCUGGCCCAGAUCACGGUUCCCUUCUCCUAUUGGCCCAACUUGCCGUCACCCGACAAGAACGGCAGACCAGGUAAAGCUACGAAAUCUCCUCCAAGGGUGCUGCAGGUCUCCUACUCCGUUCUGGAGACGAGGCCUGAUGAGCAAGGAGCUUGCCAUCCCGAAGUACAGAUUCAACCUAGCACCCCUAUAGGAGUGGUACACCUGGUGGUAGCUAGAGGGGCCUACAAGGAACUGAAGUUGACAGAAGACAUUACUAUGUUGGUGCCACAUCCGCCAUUAUUUCCAAUGAGCAGGAUACAUGUGCCAGUGUUUGUGGACAGGCAGAAAGCUAGAUUGAUGACUGCCAUAGUUAUAAGGGGUCGCGUGAAGAGCGGCCUGAAGAUACUGGAGGCCACGGCCGCAUCGGACGCCGCUGCUUGGAAUCUGACCGUCGACAUAAAUCCCAGACACACUGGCGCAACGGUGACCCUCGUCAGAAGGGAGCCCCCUGACGCAGAAGGAGUAGCCGGAACCCCUGGAGGAGAGGUUUUGGAACUUUUCACUUGGCUGGUAGAGGUGAGCGAGGAUGCAACAGAACUUUACGAAGGGACAAGGAUAGUGUGGACAGCUCGUUACGAGCCACAUCAAGACGAUCAAGAUGGCGCUGACACUCACAGGACUGAAGGAAAGAAAUCUACGACGCGAUUCGAAGUGCAGAAAGAUGACAUACAAGCCGUUGUUCCCAUCAGUAAGAACUGGGAGGUGCUGAACACGGCAGUGCUGACAGGCAGACAGGUUUCCCAGGCCAUGAAAAUUUUCAUAGUUUCCCAGGCGGGCAAGGCAGCUGACGUGACGUUCCAGGCUUCCUGCUACUCGGAGGACGACAGCGUCCUGAAGGUAUCUUCGUCUUGUAGCUCGGUUUAUGUAGAUGGCAGUGAAGCCAGAGGCUCAGUCAAUGGAUCCGUUCUUGUUAAAUAUGGAACAUACACAGGGUUGGCCAGGUUUACCGUCUGGAUGCCUGAGUUUCCUCUAGACCUCCAGGUGGCCGAUUUCAGACUGUCACAGAUAAAAUCUUGGAGAGUUCCAGAUACUCACCCCAGCAACACCAAGACUAGGCGAAAGAAGAGAUCUUACGGCACCUCCUGGUCAAGCAGCAGCAGUAUAGGUGGUGAGGACCUGGGGAACGUCGUGGAGAAGCCCUUCUGCAGGCUUAGAUAUCAGCAGACGCCAGUGGACGUUUACGCUCACUUCAUGGCCGUAGACCACGAAUCUGGAAGGGUGAGUUACCUCAUCAAUAGGAGAACCUGGUUGAGAGUUACGGACCUGGUGCUUCCCUUACUUCGCGUUAGCGACCUCAGGAUAGCAAGUCUGCACGGAAGAAUACUUCAAGGUCGGAGCAUGGGACGCACGGAAGUUCAGGUGCUAUCGCCGAUCACAGGCAGAGUGAUAGGCGCCAAAGAGAUUCGAGUGGUCAACGACAAAGUAGGAAUCUCCAAACUAUCAGUGGAGGUAGUUUCAGGUCUCCAAUUGAACAUAUCUCCAGACAGCUCCAUCGAGAAUGGCUACGUGGCAGAAACCAGCGUUACCAGGAAACUCACAGCACAAUACCAGGAAGGCCUGCUAGACAUCGAGUUGGAGUUUUCAGAUGGAACCAAAACACCCUUAAGGGAUAUAGCGGACAGCGAUUACCAUCUGCUGGUAGACAGUACAGACCCUGAAGUGGUUGCCUUUGCACCAAUGGUGGCGUCCCAUCAUCCCAGAGUGAUAGCGGUUGGUGAGGGAAAUGGAGACCUUCUCCAAGUGACCCUCUUGCUGUCUGAAGAAUGUCGGAUGUCCUCCAGGUCUAAGGUUAAGAGUGCCGGUCCUUUGGCUCAAGCCUCUGCGAAUGUUGUGGUCGACUUCAGUUCCAGCGAUCUAGCUCACAGGCCUGACAUCUUGCAGAAUGAUGGAGGGGUUUUUGGUGGCACCAAAGGGUUGUCUUUAGAUCACCAGGAUAUUCUGAAUGGAAACUCCAUGAAAGAAGACUUGGGUCAGAUACCGAAUGUACAAGCUCGUAAGUACAGUUCGACCAAGAACAGUAAUAAGAGACGUCAUGAUGAUAUGAACCCUCUGGAGAUCAGCAUGUAUGUCCUACUGACUGCCUUCUGCUGCGCCAUUGUUGUUUUCGUCAUAUCCUGCGUAGUCUACGCGUCGAAAUACAAGCAACUGGACCAGAGCGUAACCCAAGGCGUUAGAGCAUCUCCGAUAUCACCCAGCGGUGUGCAAAAAGACUACAAUCGCAAGAGAGAAACCGUGACCAACGCCCACGAUUGGGUAUGGCUGGGACGUUCUACCGUGGACAGCUCGAACAGGAACUCAACGGUCCACAACGGUACCGCUGGUACCGAGAUAAGGAUAACUGCCAACCCGCUGAACGCCAACUACUUCGAUCCUGAUGACGCACUGGCUAACAGCUUCAGCAAUCCCACCCACAUCGAACUGCCUAGCGCUAACGCCUCUAGGACGGUCGAUAGUACCACUUACAGCAGGAGCAAAUUGGCUGCAGGAGCUCCCAAGGAAGAUUGUCGAAAUUGGACUAAACCAACAGCGCCUCCACCUCUGCCACCUCAUGGAAUACCUUCGGAAGCUGCAGUGGUGUCACCACCACCUUCUUACGACAAAACAGUGCUGGCUUCCACAUCUGAAGAGUACCGACCACCUGUACCUCCUCAUAGAAAUCUCUCAACACCCAUUCCCCCAAUAGAAAAUCAAAAUCCCCUUAAGAAGCACCAUCACCGUCACCAUCACCACAACAGGAAUUCGAGUGAGGGUAAACUGCAACCCAGGCUAGCCAACGAUAACGCCUGCAACCAACCCAUCACCGAGUACAACAGACCAUCAGACCCCAACAUAGUAAACAGAGAGUACGGUUUGAGAGAUUUCACCCCCAGCAACCGUUCAAGCGAAGACGAAGUCCAAGAUUUCGUCUCCGCCGUAAACGGCAACAACUUGAACGCCUUCGAAUUCGACGACGAGCCCAGCGACGUCCCCAGCCCUCCUGAAGAGGUCAAGAUGAGACCGAAACCAGCGGACAAGGAGGAGGAGGUGCAGUUCGUCCAAUACCCUGGAGAAGCCAGCCAGAACAGAAACGCUAGGAACAGUGCCGAAAUAAAGCGGGCAACGAUCGUGGGCAAUCCGAUGUUCAGCAACAAGGAGCAGGACCAGACCAAUUCGACAACACCGCAGGCUGACCUCCCAGGAUUGGACGAUCUUCAGUUGGACAUGGAUUACGAUCAGAUCAUGCACUAUUUUGAGAAUUUAAAGGAAUCGAACGCCUGAGUAGAAGCGAUCAUUGCAAGGAUCCGUGACAUACUAUUGUCAUUCAGCGAGCAGUACAGAGCAUGCGCCCUAAACGGGAACCUAAACAGUCCUGACAUUGUCGCAAACGCGAAUGAAAGUUUCGAGUACUUCUUCGACUAUCUCAGCGAGUCAUAUGCCUAACCAGCCAGCUGUGUGAGCAACACCUGGAUUUGAACGCAUGGCCAAAAAUUUAUUCGGCAUAUGAUUCUGCCGGAUUCCAAAAAAUGAACAGAUUUCCUAAUUCAUUUACGCUUCUGUUCAUUUCUUCGAUGGACGUUUUCUUUUUCUUCGCAAGAAUGGGUAAUACAACGAAGUGUCUAUAUAUACAUGGAUAUUUGCAGUGAUCGAAAAAAAAAAUAUCUAGUCAAUAACUUAUACUAAGCUUUAUAUUUUAAAAUAAUAGUGUAAUAAAUGUAUUCCGAAAGGAUGCCUCCAAUAUAAAAUGUUUAAAUUUGCACAAAUAUGGUUCCUGGUAUUACGAAAGAACAAUUCUAUAUUUAAAGAUUUUCAAUUAAUCGAUAUUGUUUAUGAUGACAAAUAUGAUGGAGAAAUGAUCAACAAUAGUCGAAAUAAUCUACAGUUUCGAAGUUACCACUCAAUACUCAAAAUUCAUAAAAAAAAAAAUUUAAUACAUAAAAAUUUUCUGAAAAAAUUUCUUCAUCAUAUGUUGCGAGAUAUUUAUUUUUAGUUAUGUAAAUUUGUGUAAACUUGUAUAUAAACUAGAUGUAAAUCCCUGACUGAUACUUGAAAAGGGAAAUAAUAUGUUGGUUGCGCCCAACAAGUAUUACUAUACUGAUGCUUCUUGGAUCAGUGAUUAUUUUUCUGUUCUAUAUUUAUAAAAAUAAGCACACAAAUAUGACAAAAUAUUUGUUUAUUCGGUAACGAUAGACUGCUUAGAAUAUUAAUAUUUAAGGAAACAUUAUUUUCUAGUCUUGAAAAAAAAUCUGUAUGAAAUAUUAAAUGUAGCAUUACUUGAACUUGAAUGUUAGUGAGCUUUCAAAUUGAAAAAUGCUUUCAUUUUGUAAAGCGAUGUACCUAUAUUUAUUCCAGUCGAUCCCUACCGUUCACUGAUGGACUGACAAUUCAAAUUUGAUUCAAGUAAAACAUGCAGUUGGUGUUUU